rnacentral:rRNA from 1 species
CCCUUAGAUGUUCUGGGCCGCACGCGCGCUACACUGACUACUUCAACGAGUUGUUUCCUUGAUCGAAAGGUCUGGGUAAUCUUUGAAAGGUAGUCGUGAUGGGGAUAGAUCCUUGCAAUUUUUGAUCUUCAACGAGGAAUUCCUAGUAAACGCAAGUCAUCAGCUUGCAUUGAUUACGUCCCUGCCCUUUGUACACACCGCCCGUCGCACCUACCGAUUGAAUGGUCCGGUGAAUCUUUAGGACUGUGGCUGAGGCCUUGCCUUGUGCGGGUCUGGCCGUGGGAAUUUAGUUAAACCAUACCAUUUAGAGGAAGGUGAAGUCGUAACA